AGAGUUUGAUCAUGGCUCAGAUUGAACGCUGGCGGCAGGCCUAACACAUGCAAGUCGAGCGGUAGCACAGAGAGCUUGCUCUCGGGUGACGAGCGGCGGACGGGUGAGUAAUGUCUGGGAAACUGCCUGAUGGAGGGGGAUAACUACUGGAAACGGUAGCUAAUACCGCAUAACGUCGCAAGACCAAAGUGGGGGACCUUCGGGCCUCAUGCCAUCAGAUGUGCCCAGAUGGGAUUAGCUAGUAGGUGGGGUAACGGCUCACCUAGGCGACGAUCCCUAGCUGGUCUGAGAGGAUGACCAGCCACACUGGAACUGAGACACGGUCCAGACUCCUACGGGAGGCAGCAGUGGGGAAUAUUGCACAAUGGGCGCAAGCCUGAUGCAGCCAUGCCGCGUGUGUGAAGAAGGCCUUCGGGUUGUAAAGCACUUUCAGCGGGGAGGAAGGCGUUAAGGUUAAUAACCUUGGCGAUUGACGUUACCCGCAGAAGAAGCACCGGCUAACUCCGUGCCAGCAGCCGCGGUAAUACGGAGGGUGCAAGCGUUAAUCGGAAUUACUGGGCGUAAAGCGCACGCAGGCGGUCUGUCAAGUCGGAUGUGAAAUCCCCGGGCUCAACCUGGGAACUGCAUUCGAAACUGGCAGGCUAGAGUCUUGUAGAGGGGGGUAGAAUUCCAGGUGUAGCGGUGAAAUGCGUAGAGAUCUGGAGGAAUACCGGUGGCGAAGGCGGCCCCCUGGACAAAGACUGACGCUCAGGUGCGAAAGCGUGGGGAGCAAACAGGAUUAGAUACCCUGGUAGUCCACGCCGUAAACGAUGUCGAUUUGGAGGUUGUGCCCUUGAGGCGUGGCUUCCGGAGCUAACGCGUUAAAUCGACCGCCUGGGGAGUACGGCCGCAAGGUUAAAACUCAAAUGAAUUGACGGGGGCCCGCACAAGCGGUGGAGCAUGUGGUUUAAUUCGAUGCAACGCGAAGAACCUUACCUGGUCUUGACAUCCACAGAACUUNUUGGUGCCUUCGGGAACUGUGAGACAGGUGCUGCAUGGCUGUCGUCAGCUCGUGUUGUGAAAUGUUGGGUUAAGUCCCGCAACGAGCGCAACCCUUAUCCUUUGUUGCCAGCGGUCCGGCCGGGAACUCAAAGGAGACUGCCAGUGAUAAACUGGAGGAAGGUGGGGAUGACGUCAAGUCAUCAUGGCCCUUACGACCAGGGCUACACACGUGCUACAAUGGCAUAUACAAAGAGAAGCGACCUCGCGAGAGCAAGCGGACCUCAUAAAGUAUGUCGUAGUCCGGAUUGGAGUCUGCAACUCGACUCCAUGAAGUCGGAAUCGCUAGUAAUCGUAGAUCAGAAUGCUACGGUGAAUACGUUCCCGGGCCUUGUACACACCGCCCGUCACACCAUGGGAGUGGGUUGCAAAAGAAGUAGGUAGCUUAACCUUCGGGAGGGCGCUUACCACUUUGUGAUUCAUGACUGGGGUGAAGUCGUAACAAGGUAACCGUAGGGGAACCUGCGGUUGGAUCACCU
rnacentral:rRNA from 1 species